AGGUGUCCUCUGCGCCCUGUCCUGCGGUGGCGCGGGGUCUGCCGCCACCGCCCGCCUCGACCCCUCAGCCUCCUGGAGCAUCAACCGCCUGGAGGAAGCCGUUGUUCCCUGUGGGGUUCUGGCGGAAGCUGGACUCGGCGCCGGCCUCCCAGAGCCCGUUUUUCGCCCCUGGGUACCCUGUGUGCCGUUCCCAUUCAGCGGCUCCGGAGUCGGGCCGCUCUCCCCGUCACCACCCUCCUUGGGAGGGAGUUUCUGGGUCCCAUGGAGUCCUUUGGGAUGAACUCUGUUGAACUCUCUGCUUCUGUUUUAUGUGGACUCAUAAUGAACCCUUGUGUUGAUCCUCCUCCGGUCCUCCCUCCGCCCACCCUGCUUGUGUGCCCGGGCGGGGAGGGAUUCGGUCCCUCCUCCUGAGACCACCCUCCGCCUGCCUUGGUUGGGGGGGGGGCCUCUGUGGGCGCCGUGGUAGACGCCCUAGGGGGAGGGGUACUGUCAGGUUUUGGUCUUGUUUUCAGUUUUAUUUUUGAAAGGUCUUAGUUGUCAUGUUUUUGGUUCCAGUUUCAUUUCCUGUUUUAUGUUGAAGGACUUCCGGUUUCUGUUCAUCGUGUUAGUUUCCGCUUUACUCCCAGUCCUCAUUACACACACCUGUCUCAGAUCAGUAAUCAGCCACCCGGAUUUAAGCACCAGUAGUCACCACAGUUAUCCGCCAGAUCGUUGUUAGUGAAUCCAUGUCUGCGCGUUCCGCUCAUCUCGUCAUCGACCCUGUUCCGUACCAUCUGUCUGCUGCCUUGGCGCUGUGCAUUUGGGUCCUCUCUCUGCUGUUCCAUGACAAAAAUCAAGGAAGUGUGUAAAGGUUUGCUUAAUUUGUUGAAAUAUAGCCAAAUGUAUCAAAAUGGCUAAAUAUUGUAAUUAAAUAGUUUUAAUUUCAAGAGCUGAAUGAGUAGCUCAACGUUUUGGAAAUAUUUAAUACGUCUGAAAUUUGCUUCAGAACAAGUAUUUGAAUUUAAAUUGAUAGAAGUUAAAGCUCUAAAGGAAGUGUGUGCAGAUAAUUGCUAAACAGUAAAAUAGUUUCAUUAAAGGUGCCUGCACAUGCAAAAUUCACUUUUUGGACAUUCUGGUACGUUUAUUUGACUCCCUGGGUCAUAUUAAGACACUCCUGGUGUGUUAGAAGUACGCCCCCUACUUAUUUCACAUUUUUGAGAGUUUAUCCAAUCCGGUUCAAGAACCAUCGUUUCAAAUUUGGCGGCCUCGAUACGUCUGCAUUUGCGCUGACCAAUCACAGAACCAGCUUCGCCCCCCCAGACAAACCUGGACCCCUAAAUAUACCUGAAACAUUUCAGUUCAGUCCCUCCAGUCACAGACAAAAGAAGUCACUCACUGCGCAGUCUACCAUAGGAGGUGGCGCUAAUUUACCUUUAAGUUGGUUGCCACCCGCCAUUUUAAAGACAAAAGAAGAAGUCACUCAUGUUGAAGAAGCGCCCACUUGCUGCUUCCCCAAAUGCUGACGCAUGCCAGCUACCGAAACGCGAGGAGGUUGCUUCCUCAAACUGACACGCGGCUACCUUGUAGAAGAGUGCUCACCUCAGGAGCAAAGAUUAUGUGGAAAAUGUGAUGGAGACCAUCUUCAAUAAAGUCCUGCUGGACUCAGGUUGUUCUAUGGAGGACCUUGUAAACAUCCCUGUCCCACCGGACCUCUGAGCAGAGUUUGAGCAACUUGACAGAAAGGAGGUCAUUAAUGUCAUGCUAAGAUUUAACAAACCAGUACUAUAAAAUAAGUUGAAAACGUGUUUGCUCCACACACCAUUAAAGGGCCCAUAUCAUGCAAAAUCCACUUUUUAGACAUUUUGGAGCGUCCCUAUGACUCUAUGGGUCACAUAUACACACACUGAGCACGGUAGAAAUGCAUUUCCUGCUUUUUUCACAUUUUGAAAACGUAAAUUUUCUCAUCCAAUGGAGAGAGAUAUCUACUGUUCUGAGACCGUUCCCCAGGUUUCGUCAUACUGGUUGAAAGUUCUCCUUGCAAAUCCUGAACCACCACCCCCACAAUGAUCCCGAACCAAAACUGGACUUCCGCCAUUUCCCCCCUCUCACUCACCGUGAACAGACCAGCACGGCAGCGCCCAAGUCCUCCCAUAGAAAUAGUUCGGUUCUUAGGUGUUCUAACCAACACCAAAGUCUAUUCACUUUACCAAGGGAUCAACAAGUGAGGAUUUGUGGGUCACUUUUAUUUUUAACGGACCGGUGCCAGAAACAGUGCCUCAGCAUUUAUACGUAUGUGCAUUUCAAACGAGGGUGCGUACAAUGCUGGAUUUGUUUCACGGCUCCUGUUGGAAAAAAAAAGGACCUAUUCCUAAAGUCCGUCAUCCACUCACUGCAGAGGGCAAAUCCCAGUUGCCCACAUGCAAGGAGGCUGUCAAACAGAGAAAUCACUGCAGACUGUUGGUACACAGACAUCUGCUGCCCAGCUCAGGAGUGAAGGUAUGUAAGUUUGUAUGUACCAACAGUAAGAUAGGUAAUAGAAGAUUUUAAUUGGUAUAUACUGUUUAGAUUUUAUAUUUGAAUUGUAACAACUGUUUAUCUGUUGUUUUAGCACAGACAGGCCUGUCCUCUUGUUUGGUUUAAUUUUUUGUCUGGUAUUGUGUGUUCUUACAUUAGAGAAGGUUUUGACCUACAUAAUAAUGAACAUUUCACUAAUCUACAAUUCUGA